rnacentral:tRNA from 1 species
GGCCCCGUAGACGAAUUGGAUAGAGUCGCCACCCUUUCAAGGUGGAGUUUUUGCGGGUUCAAUCCCCGCCGGGGUCACCA